rnacentral:rRNA from 1 species
AGGGCACCACCAGGAGUGGAGCCUGCGGCUUAAUUUGACUCAACACGGGGAAACUCACCCGGCCCGGACACUGGAAGGAUUGACAGAUUGAGAGCUCUUUCUUGAUUCAGUGGGUGGUGGUGCAUGGCCGUUCUUAGUUGGUGGAGUGAUUUGUCUGGUUAAUUCCGAUAACGAACGAGGCUCUAGCCUACUAAAUAGACCUCGGCAUUCUUUGUACUGUCGAGGCGCUUCUUAGAGGGACAGGCGGCGUUUCAGCCGCAUGAGAAAGAGCAAUAACAGGUCUGUGAUGCCCUUAGAUGUCCGGGGCCGCACGCGCGCUACACUGAAGAGAUCAGCGUGCAUGUGCUUCCUACUCCGAAAGGAGCGGGAAACCGAGUGAACCUUUUUCGUGCUUGGGAUUGGGGAUUGUAAUUAUUCUCCAUGAACGAGGAAUUCCCAGUAAGCACAAGUCAUCAGCUUGUGUUGAUUACGUCCCUGCCCUUUGUACACACCGCCCGUCGCUACUACCGAUUGGAUGUU